ACGUAGGGAGCAAGCGUUGUCCGGAUUUACUGGGCGUAAAGAGCGCGUAGGCGGCUCGUUAAGUGUGAAGUGAAAUCUCCAGUGCUCAACACGGAAACUGCUUUACAUACUGGCGAGCUUGAGGAAAGCAGAGGCAACUGGAAUUCCUGGUGUAGCGGUGAAAUGCGUUGAUAUCAGGAGGAACACCAAUGGCGAAGGCAGGUUGCUGGGCUUUAACUGACGCUGAGGCGCGAAAGCGUGGGUAGCAAACAGGAUUAGAUACCCUGGUAGUCCACGCCCUAAACUAUGGAUACUAGACGUAAGAGGUAUCGACCCCUCUUGUGUCGCAGCUAACGCAUUAAGUAUCCCGCCUGGGGACUACGGCCGCAAGGUUG
rnacentral:rRNA from 1 species